CCAAAUGUGCUACACAGAGGGGUGAGGGAUUUCUGCUUCCGUGGCCCCUGGAGUCUCAUCUCUCUCAGAUGACUAAAGGACAGGAAUGAAGUGCUUCGUGCUGCAUCCUGCCUUCAACGACAGGAAACUGAGUUUGUUACACAAAUCUCUGGAAGAUAUGGAGCUAGGAAGAGCCGUUGCCGUCUGCAGCUACUGAACACAGUGUGAUAGCACACUUUAUCUGCCAGAGCUCAGUUCCCAACUGUACUAAGGUUUUUAAAGGCACAUUGAAGUUGCAGCCAGCAAACUUCAGUAAGCAACACAGCAACUCCUAAAAUCGCCCUAUUUGGGGAGGGGGAGGCUAAGACUUAUUAACUUCAUUAUAUUAUCGCCAACAGUGUUUAUGUCUUUCAAUUUAUGUCUUAUUAAAUAUUCAUUAUUUUUAAACCCA